GUGAGCAUAGUUUAAACCAAAACAUCAGACUGUGAACCUGACAACAGAAGCUUACACC
rnacentral:tRNA from 1 species